UUCCAAAAAUAAUUGAGCUUAAACAGGGUUGGAAUCAUUGUGAGCUUACCCUAACACUCGGAACCUCUGUGGCUCUGUCUCCCUCGGUUCUCAGACUCAAAAUUCUCUCCUCUCUCACUGCCUAGCCCACUAGAGUCUCUUUCAAUCUCACUCGAGUCUCGUCUCAGUCACACUCGCCGGCGUCUCGUUGUUCAUCUUGCCGACGUCUCGCGGCCUUCCUCGUCAUCUCACUCGAGUCUCGUCCCUGGGCUCAUCGUCGCCGGCGGCAGAGGCAACUCGUGGGAUCGUGGCUUGCUUCGUCGCGUUCCGUGAGGUCGUCGUCUUCUGGUUUCUGUUCGUCGUCAUCGCCGUGGACCGUGGACCGUUGCUUUCAGGCUCAGGGAAGAAGCAGAGGAAGUAGUAUGCACAGUUGAGGAAUGGGGUUGAAGAAAAUGCUCAGACCAAUAGCAACACCACUACACCUACCGUCGCCGCACCCACUCUCUCCUCUUCCAAACCCUCCUCUCCCAUCUCCGCCGCCAGAUCCCUCCCUCCCUCCGCCACCACCAACACUCACAGUGACCCCAAUCCCCAACUCCCAAUACCACCGCCUCCUCAACUUUCUCAAGACCCAUCUUUCCCCACCUUUCACCCCAGAAUCCCUCCUCCAUUUCCUCAAAUCCAAGCUCCACCACCACCCUUCCUUUUCCCACUACGACUUCCACGUCUUCACCUGGGCCUCCUUUGUCGACUCUUUCCGCCACAACCACUCCACUUUCCAUUGGAUGGCCCAAACCCUAGCUCUCUCCCACCGCUUCCACCACCUCCACAUCCUCCUUGAUUUCAUUGCCUCCAACCCUUGCCCCUGCUCCGACUCCAUCUUCUCCUGCCCCCACACCGAAUCCAUCUUCCGCUUCGCCAUCCACGCUUACUGCAAAGCUGGCAAAUUGGACGAAGCUGUCUCCUCGUUCCGUUCCAUGUGCAGGUUGAUCGACGGUAGGCCUAAUGUUGCAGUUUGUAAUAUCAUAAUUCAUGGAUUUGUGAAAUGGGGCAUGCUUGAUAGGGCUCUGGAGUUUUAUGAUGAGAUUGUUAGGGUUAGGAUUAGGCCUGAUUUGUUCACUUUUAACAUCUUGAUCAGUGGUUAUUGUAGGAAUUUGAAGUUUGGGUUGGCAUUGGAGAUGUUCAAGGAGAUGAGAAAGAUGGGGUGUGAGCCAAAUGUGGUUACUUUCAACACUUUGAUUAAGGGGAUGUUUAGGGAGGGGAAGGUUGAAGAAGGGAUUGGGAUGGCUCAUGAGAUGAUUUAUUUGGGGUGCGAGUUCUCCAAUGUCACUUGUGAGAUUCUGGUUCGAGGACUUUGCGAGAAAGGAAAGGUUUUGCAGGCUUGUGAGAUGUUAGUUGAUUUCUCCAGAAAGGGCGUUUUGCCUAAAGGGUAUGAUUAUUUUGAUUUGGUGGAUGCUCUGUGUGGGAAUGGAGAUGCUGAUAGAGCAUUGAGGCUAAUUUAUGAGUUGUGGGAGAAAGGAUGUGUGCCUAGCUUGAUUGCUUGCAUUGUGAUGAUUGAUGGGUUGAGAAGAUCGAGGAAGACUAAAGAAGCUUGGAGAUUAGUGGAAAAGAUGCUUAAAGAGGGUAUGAUACUGGAUGUUAUGACUUUUAAUUUUGUGCUUCAGGAUAUUUGCAAAGUGGGAAGAACAGAGGAAGCAAAUAAAUUAAGAUUACUUGCUUCGAGCAAGGGUUUGGAACCAGACGACAUGACAUAUAAAAUUUUGGUUAAUGGAUACACAGGAGAGGGCCGGAAAAUAGAGGGAGAGUCAGUGGUGAAUGAGAUGUUGGAUAGGGGAUUCAUACCUGAUCUUGCUUCAUAUAAUGAAUUGAUGAAUGCACUAUCCACUUGUCAACGACACUCCACCCCCGGGUUAGCCUAACAAACUUGACCACACAUAAUACAAGUGUUCAAGGUUUAACUUGGUGUUCAAUUAUAAUUGAAGCCUAGGAUAAAUGAUAUAUGAAUGAUUGAGAUCUUAAUAUGAAGAAAAAAACUUAAGGUGAUUAAUGAGAGUUGUCAUCCAUCAUGUGAAGUCAGCUGGAGCACGAAUGAAGUUAAUCCGCAAGUCUUCUCUGAAGAUGGUCCGUACUCAACUUGAAUCCUCUUAGCCUAUUUGAUUCUAUUACAAGAUUAUAGAUUUAAAUGGAAUUGUCCCUGAUACACAAAACCUAAAUCCUUUGAGGACAUUAUUUUAACUGUAGGAGGAUGUCCUAUUGGAUCUAAUAGCAAAAUAGAAGUGGUGAUGUGGGUGCCAAUGUGCCAUCACAUAACCCCGGCUAAGGACCUGGAGAGAUAUUUUUGGGGAAUUCAUGACGGCCUCAACCUUGCUUGGACUAUGGGAAUGAGGGAAAUCAUUAUAUAUAGCGAUGCCGCUGCUGUUAUAGCCCUUAUCAAUAAUCAGCGAGAAUUCCGUAACCAUCCCAAUCCUUUGGUACGUUUAAUUGCAAAUUGGAAGAAGAAGAAUUGGCAAAUUUGCUUCAGCCACAUACUCAGAAGGUAAUAAAGUGGCGGACAGAUUGGCGAGAAUCGGCACUGAAAUUGAUCCUGGUCUUGUCUUGUCUAAGUGAAAGGCUUUGUGCGUGAAGAUGGAAGAGGGGUAAUACUUCCACGUAUCUCCAGGCCCUAAGUGUGCUUUCUUUGUUUUCUUUUGUUUUUUUUUUCUUUCUUUGGGCCUAUGGCCCCUCAUAUCAUAAAAAAAGAAAAAGACAAUCCAAGCUAGGCAGCAGACUCUAGUGGUUGCUGAGUACUUUGGAUAAUUGCAAUACCAUUACUUAAGUAUUGCCGUGUUUCUCUA